ACACCCUUCUCCACCUGCAGGGCUGUGGUGCAGUCCUUGAAGGUGCUGCUCUGCAGCGUGGGCCUCCAGAGGCAGAUGGAGGCCAUCCAGGAGCAGGGCGGCUGGGACGCGCUUCUCAGCACUGUGACCCACCUCCAGGGUGUACAGGUGGUGGCCAGGUGAGAACUCCUCCCUCAGGGUGGCAGGGGGUCCCCAGUUCUCUGAGAAAGUGCUGCCACAGCACCACCACAGCCUGUGGCCCCUGCGGCGUUGGCAAGAGGGCUGCACAGCCAGAGCUGCGUCCCCCUGGCUCGGGGCUCACGGUGCCUUCUUAUCCCUGCCAGGGUGAUGAGAGAGCUGCCUGGUGCUCUGCGUGACCCCAUCUUCCACCACCUGGUUGAGCUGCUCAGCACCAGCUUCUUCUACUCCUGGGAGACGGUGGCCAUGGUCUUCCUCAUUGAGGUGAGCACCAGCUGCAGAAGCGGUGAACUUGAGGCUGCAACGCCACUGGUGGCACGAGUCCUGCUGCCUCCCUCGGGACCAGGCUUGGCCAUGCCUUGCUGUCUUUCCCCAAGCGGGUUGCUGGAUCCAGCACUAAGAGCCGCGUGUGUUGCAGAUGCUGGACUGCGUGGACCUCAACAAAGAGCUGCACCGCAUCAUGAUACUCUUUACCACCUAUCUGCAGAGCCAGAGCGUGGGCAUGCAGCAGCUGGUGCUCAGGGGCAUUCUGAAGCUGAGCCAGAGGCAGGACACGGUGAGCAGGGGCGGCCAGGAAUGCCACAGGUGCCACAGGUCGGGCUAGGCCUGCCAUGGGGCUGUAGCAGAGCCAUCUGCAGCUCAGCACCUCUCCAUGCAGUGAGGAGCUGGUGCUCGCUGCCCAUCCCAUUGCUGCCUGCUGUCCACGGGGCUGGUACUGGAGUGGUUUUGCCCUCACUGUGCUUGCUGCUCUACCUAAAGGAAGGGGUGUUCUUCCCACAGGCAAGGCCAAUGAUCAUCUUCCUGCCGUGCGUCAUGGAGCUGCUGCAGGACGCAGACAGCGACAUCCGUGCCGUGGCCUUACCAAUACUCAGCAACCUGCUGCAGCUCCUGGAGGGGGUCAAGCUCAGCCUCAUGGCUCUGGCUCUGGCCGGCAAGCUCCCAGCGCUCAUUAAUGAUGUAAGGAUAGUAGGGAGCCCAGCACAUUAGGGAUGUGGCUACCACCUCAGCGUGCCCAUGCCUGCUGCCCUGUGACAGCACACCAGGGGACUUCCUGGCCGCUCACCAGGUCCAGGGGCUGCGUGGCCCUGGGCAGACUUUCUGCAGGGCAGAGCUUGUGCACUUUGGAGCAGUUCUGGGGGCAUCCUCAAGAUCUGCCUGCAGCCUCUCAGCUCAGAGAUUCUGCCCCCACUUCAUUGGCGGUGCUGGCCCUGCUUGCCAUGGCCCUGGAGCUGCUGACACCGACGUCCUUCCUUCCUCCUCCACAGGAGUCCAGCACGGUGCGGCAGCUCUCCAUCGACCUCUUCCUCGAAACGCUCAACUACGUGGAGGACCAAGAAAAGAGGAACAUGCAGGAGGAGGUGUGCAGGAGCCUGGUCCUGCUGUAUCUGCACCUGCAUGAUGAGGAAGAGAGCGUGGCCAAGGCCUCCCAGAAAGCCCUCCUUGGUGCCGCACGGUUCCUGUGCUGGAGGCGGCUGGAGCACCUGGUACAGACAGCACAGUUCUGGCAGAUUGGCGAGUGCAUGGUAUGCACAUUCCCACACCCCACGACAGGGUCGGGACCG
ensembl:lncRNA